GUAGGAGUCAGUGCUGUGAGGAGUUGCCCAUGAGAAAUCACCAAGAAGUCUUUUUCAUCAGGAUCACGAGAGAUCUCUUCAGGGGUAUUGCCAUCUGCUUUUCUGCUAUGAUGAUAAGCUCAGUUAGAGACAUGUUGGUGUCUAUCUUCUCUUUCAACAAGCAAUUAAUGGUACAUCUGGAGAGUCAUUGCCCUGGGGAUUCUUCUUCAGAUCUAGUGAUUGAUCAGAGCCAGUGUCAUACUUAAGACUGAGACCUUGGGUCACAUUUUCUUCCUGUGAGUUUUGCUGCUACUUCAAUUAAGCAUGCAGUCCUUGGAGGAAAAAGAGGGAUCUUCAAGCUGGAGCCUGGAAUGAAUAGAACAACCUGUUCUUAAGGCUGCUGUCCUUCAGAACAGAUCCAUGUAGUCUCAUCUUGGUCUGGGAGGGAAUUUCUGCUGCUGAACCUGAAGCACGUCCUCCUACUUCUUCACUGACCUGGUAUCUGCAGAGUUGUUUCUCCCACAUUUUGCCUCACUCCUGGCUCCCACACAUCCUGUGCCUCUUUUAAAAUAUGGUUUCCUAUAUGUGCCCCCCACCUCACCUGUAUCCAGUUCAUUCUACUUCUCAUCUCUUAGAAACACACAUUUACGAAUAAUCAACAAUAUUUAAUUUCAUUACAUGCUUUUCAUGAAUUAUGUUUGCAGCAACAACAAAAAUUUCCUCACACCAAAAUCAACCUAACAUCAUCACAACAGCAGCAAACGCACUAUAGAUACAAUCCCAGCCUCCUGGAUUUGAAUAGUGUGGAGCUAGAGGGAGAGCCCUGAUGGUGUGUGAGCACUGCUAAACAGCAGUCAAAAUGCUGGUGUAGCACCAGCACUGAUACAGAUGCAAAGCAUAGCACUGCACAAGCUGCUGUGAAGAAUCAUGACUCCAAGCCAGGCAGACUCUCUGCAAUAUCAUUCUUGCAUCAACAGAGAGAUAAAUUUGUGAAUUCAUGGUGUACCUUGCUUGCUGAUCUCUGAUUUGAGCUAAGAACUAUAGAAGAAAUACUGUAGGAAAGGCUGUGAAAAGAGUAAUAAAUGGGGACAUGUGAAUGCACUGACAGGAGCAGCCAUUCCAUCUGUGCUCUUUGAUGUACUUUAUGAAGCUGAUAACAAUGUCAAAUUUUAUUUUCCCUGUAGUAUUCUUGCUGCCUUGUUAGUAUGUUAAUGACUUCUGUUAUAGCAUAAUGGCAAGCUCUUUUGGGGUUGUGAAUUUAAAGUAUGGGUAUGCUAUAAUAUUUUAAUGGUGCCGUAUCAAAAAAUAUCAAGCAUUUUUCUACCAAAAGCAAAGUGCUGCUAUAAAUUGUUCCCCAGUUGGUGUUUAGAGGGUCUUACUUAGGCCAAGUGGGAGACAGUUGAUAUGAAUGAUGGUUAGGUCUUAUUUGGUGUUUGUGCAUUACUCUUAUUUCUCCACUUUGAGAUAAUUUGCUAGACAGAGUGCAGCAGAGCUCCUGGUGGCAGAGUUUGGUGAUGCUUCAGAGUAUUUUGACUGGUUCCUGUUGAGAACUGUUCAAUGGCCAUGAAAAAUUAGCAAUACUUUUGAGAUAUUCAUCAGAGAAAUAAAAACAUUAUAGAUGACUGUAAA